AUGCAGUUCCAAAGGCCUCCUUCCCCGAGACAAUGGAACCACACACACAGAAUUUCAAGGGCUCUCCUCCUCCUGCGCCAUCAUGGUCUCUCCUGUGAUCUUUGGAACAGCUGACGAUCUUAUCUGACUGGGCUCAAGACUGCUGAAUUGAUGGGCGACACGUCUGCCUCCCCCUCUCUGCCUUGCUUUGCUCUCUAUACUGCCUAACAGAGCUCCCCAGUCCGCCUUGAGACCUCACUCCCACCUUCCAGCGGCUCUCAACCCCGACGACUCAGCGCCUCCGCGGUAGCCCUGGCUGUGUCCCGUCUGAGUCUGCGCGGCGCGGCCUCCAGGCAGACCCUCCCUCCCUUUCUUCCUCCCAGCGGGUUCUGUGUGCAGCGACCGCUACUUGAGCUAUUUCAUAAGGAAAUGCUUGUUAGUGAGAAUUUGCAGGGACCCGGCCGAGUGAGGAGGGAGCUGAGUGCGCGCGCGUGCCCCGACCUAGUGGAGAGGGAUGGCGUCCGAGCGGUAGAGAACUCCACGCUGGCCGAGUGUAUUCCUCGCGCCUGUCCUCGUCUCCUGAAUCGCUGUAGACGCAUGGGAGCAUGGGAGCAGGGGAAGCCAAGAAACCUCUGGAACCUGGUGGGAGGACCGAUGCCACCAGAGGCUGGCAGGACCAGAGCAGGCCAAGCACGGCCUCUCCAAACCUCAAGCUCAGAUGUCUGGGACAAACACCUUUGCUACAGAAGAGACUCCAAAAUAUGCCGCAUUGAUAUGUUGAUUAUCUUGAGCUGAAGGCGCUUGGAAAACAAUAAAUGCUCAUAGAGGUUGUCUCUGAAACCCCACCCUCCCCCUUCUCUGCUUCAGACAGACCCGGCAAAACGACCUGAACCGUCAUCAGUCCCCUCCCGGGCAUUUCAUCAGUCCCAGGAGAGGAGACGAGAGGGUGGCAUCACACCCAGGCAGACUUUGUCACAAACUGUCAUAUCUCCCCUCUAGUCUAAGGGCCCAGUCACCCUUCCUAAAAUCAUUUGCUCCAAGAGGCCGAGGUCCCUGUAGGGCAAGUGGAGGCCGUCGGGCUUCCUCACUCAGGCGUCUGGGUCACUAAGGGAAGCAGUUUCUCACAACCAUGAAGGGGCCUGAUAAAGCAGUGUUCUCACAGCCCUGAGCCUGGGUCUCACAGCCUUGAGUCUGGGUCCGAUAAACGGUUCCCAUUACAUGAAGUGGACUCGCGUGCACAGCUCCUGCUGUGUUACUUAACUUUUUGGCCUGAGACCGGCUUUCUUUGUGCUUAUACUUGAGAAGGUAGGGGCUUCCCACUGGGUGCGCAGAGGUAGACAUGGGCUUGUGGCCUGCGUGGCUCCCUCAAAUAAAUGCAUGUUAGACACCCAACGGCCCUGUGAACAUUGUUCCGUCUGCACGAAUCCCAUGAACCUGUCUGGCCCUGAUCGGUCACAACACAGUCCCCACGCCCAUUUUCCAGUUAAGAUGUAUACAAGCUCCAAAAUAUUUUGGGGGGUAUUCACCUUUUUUCCCCUGUGA